GUCAAGCAAUCUCGGGCUUGGUUAGUACUUGGAUGGGUGACCGCUUGGGAAUACCAAGUGUGAUAAGCA
rfam:Ciona savignyi cont_37928, whole genome shotgun sequence.